rnacentral:rRNA from 1 species
GAUGAACGCUAGCGGCAGGCUUAACACAUGCAAGUCGAACGGUAACAUUUCUCGCUUGCGAGAAGAUGACGAGUGGCGCACGGGUGCGUAACGCGUAUACAAUCUGCCUUUAACAAAGGGAUAGCCCAUGGAAACGUGGAUUAAUACCUUAUAAUAUGUAGAGAUGGCAUCAUCAUUACAUCAAAGAUUUUUUCGGUUAGAGAGGAGUAUGCGUGACAUUAGCUAGUUGGUGAGGUAACGGCCCACCAAGGCUACGAUGUCUAGGGGUUCUGAGAGGAUGAUCCCCCACACUGGUACUGAGACACGGACCAGACUCCUACGGGAGGCAGCAGUGAGGAAUAUUGCGCAAUGGAGGAAACUCUGACGCAGCCAUGCCGCGUGAAGGAAUGAAGGCCCUAUGGGUUGUAAACUUCUUUUAUAUGGGAAGAAACGCAGAUACGUGUAUUUGUUUGACGGUACCAUACGAAUAAGGACCGGCUAACUCCG